rnacentral:rRNA from 1 species
AUUGAACGCUGGCGGCAGGCCUAACACAUGCACGUCGAGCGAGCGGCGGACGGGUGAGUAAUGUCUGGGAAACUGCUUGAUGGAGGGGGAUAUCUACUGGAAACGGUAGCAAAUACCGCAUACCAUCAGAUGUGCCCAGAUGGGAUUAGCUAGUCGGUGGGGUAAUGGCUCACAUAGGCGACGAUCACUAGCUGGUCUGAGAGGAUGACCAGCCACACUGGAACUGAGACACGGUCCAGACUCCUACGGGAGGCAGCAGUGGGGAAUAGUGCACAAUGGGCGCAAGCCUGAUGCAGCCAUGCCGCGUGGGUGAAGAAGGCCUUCGGGUUGUAAAGCACUUUCAGCGGGGAGGCGUUACCCGCAGAAGAAGCACCGGCUAACUCCGUGCCAGCAGCCGCGGUAAUAC